rnacentral:ncRNA from 1 species
AUAUAUACUAUAGUCACAUUGGAUCCCAGUGAAGUCAUCUUGCUGAUGGCUGGGGCCCAGCCAAGAAAGGCGACAAUGUGGGAUGCUGCAUUGGAACCAAGACCUCAGUUGAGGUAUUCGGGACUAGAAAACCGCUUUGGUUGGUGGCGCAUUACGCUCUUCGAUGUAAACGACUGUUUGGGCAGGCACGACAAGAGGCUCUGUAGCAAUACAUCCCACGUGAUGAUGCUAGCGUGAGAAACUAGCAUCUGCGUUCUCAAAAGAAGUGCUCGGUUUGACGGAUGGUAACAUCCUAUAACUGUCUUAACAGGUACCAGUAGGGAAACACCGGAUAGUAGUUUCUAGUAAAUGAUGAUCCUGCUGAAGCUUCCUGAGGGUUGAAAGGUAAUCUGAGUCCUUCCCGUUGUUCGGUAGAAAUACCCAUUCCAGAAGUAUGUGGGCCGCUCCCACCUACUCAGCCUGGCGUGAACGUGCGUGAAUAACAAAUUAGAGUAAGUAAUGUAUGACGAAGGUCACCAGUGUUUUUUUAAUAAAA